CUUGGUCAUUUAGAGGAGUAAAAGUCGUAACAAGGUUUCCGUAGGUGAACCUGCGGAAGGAUCAUUAUCGAAAUUAUUGGUGAGGGUUGUAGCUGGCCUUUCGAGGCAUGUGCACGCUCGAGCCCUUAAUCCACUUUACACCUGUGCACUUAAUGUAGGUCGCCCUUAAAAAAGGUGACCUAUGUCUUAUCAUCAACCCAUCGUAUGUCUCAUAGAAUGUAAUCGAUAUCCCCGCCCUAAAAAAGCGUUGAUAAACUUAUACAACUUUCAACAACGGAUCUCUUGGCCCUCGCAUCGAUGAAGAACGCAGCGAAAUGCGAUAAGUAAUGUGAAUUGCAGAUUUUCAGUGAAUCAUCGAAUCUUUGAACGCACCUUGCGCUCCUUGGUAUUCCGAGGAGCAUGCCUGUUUGAGUGUCAUUAAAUUCUCAACUCCAAGGGUUUCACGACCUUUCGGAGAUUGGACUUGGAGGUGCUGGCCGCAUAUUGGUCGGCUCCUCUCAAAUGCAUCAGCGGAAUUCAACCUUUGGCUUCCGGAUGUCAGUGUGAUAAUCAUGUUGCGCUGUCGUUUGAUCCCUCAGAGUCCGCUUAUAAUGGUCUUCGGACAAAAUCAUCAUCAAAUUUGACCUCAAAUCAGGUAGGACUACCCGCUGAACUUAAGCAUAUCAAUAAGCGGAGGA
rnacentral:rRNA from 1 species